UAAGAUGGCUUGGUCAGAAGAGCAUGAGACUCUUAUUCUUAGGGUCAUGGGUUUGAGCCCCAAAAUGGGCAGAA